rnacentral:rRNA from 1 species
AUACGAAGGGGGCUAGCGUUGUUCGGAAUUACUGGGCGUAAAGCGCGCGUAGGCGGCCAAGUCAGUCGGAUGUGAAAGCCCCGGGCUCAACCUGGGAAUUGCAUUCGAUACUGCAUGGCUAGAGUAUGGUAGAGGAAAGCGGAAUUCCGGGUGUAGCGGUGAAAUGCGUAGAUAUCCGGAGGAACAUCAGUGGCGAAGGCGACUUGCUGGACUAAUACUGACGCUGAGGAGCGAAAGCGUGGGGAGCAAACGGGAUUAGAAACCCCGGUAGUCC